UACGUAGGCAGCAAGCGUUGUUCGGAGUUACUGGGCGUAAAGAGUAUGUAGGCGGUUGGGUAAGUUUGGUGUGAAAUCUCCCGGCUUAACUGGGAGGGUGCGCUAAAGACUGCCUGGCUCGAGUGUGGGAGAGGAAAGCGGAAUUCCUGGUGUAGCGGUGAAAUGCGUAGAUAUCAGGAGGAACACCUGCGGUGUAGACGGCUUUCUGGACCAUAACUGACGCUGAGAUACGAAAGCGUGGGUAGCAAACAGGAUUAGAUACCCUGGUAGUCCACGCCCUAAACGAUGCAUACUUGGUGUUGGCCAUUCACUUGGUCAGUGCCGGAGCUAACGCGUUAAGUAUGCCGCCUGGGGAGUACGGUCGCAAGGCUGAA
rnacentral:rRNA from 1 species